rnacentral:rRNA from 1 species
UACGUAGGGGGCAAGCGUUGUCCGGAAUUAUUGGGCGUAAAGAGCUCGUAGGCGGUUUGUUGCGUCUGCCGUGAAAGCCCGUGGCUUAACUACGGGUCUGCGGUGGAUACGGGCAGGCUAGAGGCUGGUAGGGCAAGGCGGAAUUCCGAUGGUGUAGCGGUGAAAUGCGCAGAUAUCAGGAGGAACACCGGUGGCGAAGGCGGCUUGCUGGGCCAGUUCUGACGCUGAGGAGCGAAAGCGUGGGGAGCGAACAGG